rnacentral:rRNA from 1 species
GAUGAACGCUAGCUACAGGCUUAACACAUGCAAGUCGAGCGACCGGCGCACGGGUGAGUAACACGUAUCCAACCUGCCCUUUACUCGGGGCUAGCCUUUCGAAAGACAGAUUCAUCCCCAAUAUAAAGGAUGGGGAUGCGUUCCAUUAGGUUGUUGGUGAGGGGACGGCACACCAAGCCUUCGAUGGAUAGGGGUCAUGGGAGGAAGGUCCACCAGGAUGGAAAUGAGACACAGUCCAAAAUCCUACGGGGGACAGCGGUAAGGAAGAUUAGUCAAUGAACGCUAGCCUGGAACAGCCAAGUAGCGUGAAGGAUGAAGGCUUAUGAGUCGUAAACUUCUUGUAUAUAAGAAUAUGUAAUAUAUGAAUAAAGAUCCGCUAAAUCACUUCCAGCAGCCGCGGUAAUAC